CCUACGGGAGGCAGCAGUGAGGAAUAUUGGUCAAUGGACGAGAGUCUGAACCAGCCAAGUCGCGUGAAGGAUGACUGCCCUAUGGGUUGUAAACUUCUUUUAUAUGGGAAUAAAAUGUUCCACGUGUGGGAUUUUGUAUGUACCAUAUGAAAAAGGCUCGGCUAACUCCGUGCCAGCAGCCGCGGUAAUAACGGGGAUCCGAGCGUUUUUCUGAUUUUUUGGGGUUAAAGGGGUGGGAGGUGGAUUGUUUAGUCAGUUGUGAAAAUUUGCGGCUUAAACGUAAAAUUGCAGUUGAAACUGGCAGUCUUGAGUACAGUAGAGGUGUGCGGAAUGCGUGGUGUAGCGGUGAAAUGCUUAGAUAUCACGAAGAACUCCGAUUGCGAAGGCAGCUCACUGGACUUCAACUGACACUGAGGCUCGAAAGUGUGGGUAUCGAACAGGAUUAGAUACCCUUGUAGUC
rnacentral:rRNA from 1 species